AGUUCAUCGCAACACUCAGCCUGUCAGUCAGGUUGUGGGAUCCCUCCUAUCCAGGAACUGUAUGCUGUUGUCCCGGUUCUGACACUUUCCCUCUGAGUCCUUGGACACCUUACCUAACCUCUUGGAAGCUCCUGUCUGUGAAGGGUGUGCACAGAGAGCUUCGGUAGCCUGCGAAGCAGCCAUUUUCACUUCCACGGAGCAGAUGCUGGCCUGGGUGCUGGAAUAUGGAAAUGAGGAAGAUCCUGCCUGAGGAUUUCAUGACAGUGCUGCGAUUACCGACGUGAGCCACUGUGCCCAGCCUCACUUUAAAAAAAAAAAAAGGUUAUGAAGCAUCUCAACACAAGACCUCCUUUGCUCAUCACAACCACCCAGUGAAGCAGGCAAGACAACAGAAACUCCCCACCUGUGAUAGAUGUGAGGCCUGAAGUCUCCCACAUACCCACGGCAGAUGCAACGCACAGCGGUGACCAAUGGUGAAGGAUCUAAAACCUGAAAAGAGGCCAAAUGAUUCCUCAAAACCACGCAAGUACGAAGUAGCAGAGCGGAUCUCAAAUCCAGAGCACUGCGUGUUUUGAAAUAUACAAAUAGUGGGAAACGAAAUCUUUGUUCUGGAUGCAGUUAUAAUUUGGAAAGCGAGGAAAUAAAUUAUAACAAGGGGAAAAAACAGAAUACUACUAAAGUCAUGCCGUGUGACUUCUGAAGCUAGCUCCUAAGAAGUCCUUGCAGCUUCUGCCUGCGACUCUUAGAACACUUGCUUUGAAGGAUGCCAGAUGCUGUCUUAAAAGUCUGAGCACUCUGAAACCAUCAUGCUGUGAGGAAGCCCAAGCUAACCACAUGGGCAAAAAAGAUGCCCUCUGACUGCCACCAUUUGAGACACUCUAAUUAAGAACUGCCUCAUUGAGCCCAUGAGGCCCUGUGAAUGAUAAUAAUAAAUUGUUUUUAACCACUAUGUUUUUGGAUUUGUUAUAAGUUUAUAGAUAACAAGAAAAAGUUAUAUUAGCAUGGUAAUAAAAUUAUGGAUAUGUGUAAGUUUGGUGUUUUGUUUCUUUUUUUUUUUUACACUAAGCCUAUAUUACUGUUGUAAUUUAGGAAAUCACUUGUUUUCCUCCAGCACUUCAAUGUAAGAGUGGCACUACUUAGAAUGUACUUCUUAAGAUAUGGCU
rnacentral:lncRNA from 1 species